rnacentral:rRNA from 1 species
UACAGAGGGGGCAAGCGUUGUUCGGAAUUACUGGGCGUAAAGGGCGCGUAGGCGGCCUUCUAAGUCGAACGUGAAAUCCCCGGGCUCAACCCGGGAACUGCGUCCGAUACUGGAAGGCUUGAAUCCGGGAGAGGGAUGCGGAAUUCCAGGUGUAGCGGUGAAAUGCGUAGAUAUCGCUUGGAACGCCGAAGGUGAAAACAGGUUGCUGGGGAUGUGCCGACGCUGAGACACGAAAGCCAGGGGAGCAAACGGG